rnacentral:rRNA from 1 species
AGUGAACGCUGGCGGUAGGCCUAACACAUGCAAGUCGAACGGCAGCACAGUAAGAGCUUGCUCUUACAGGUGGCGAGUGGCGGACGGGUGAGGAAUACAUCGGAAUCUACUUUUUCGUGGGGGAUAACGUAGGGAAACUUACGCUAAUACCGCAUACGACCUACGGGUGAAAGCAGGGGAUCAUCGGACCUUGCGCGAUUGAAUGAGCCGAUGUCGGAUUAGCUAGUUGGCGGGGUAAAGGCCCACCAAGGCGACGAUCCGUAGCUGGUCUGAGAGGAUGAUCAGCCACACUGGAACUGAGACACGGUCCAGACUCCUACGGGAGGCAGCAGUGGGGAAUAUUGGACAAUGGGCGCAAGCCUGAUCCAGCCAUACCGCGUGGGUGAAGAAGGCCUUCGGGUUGUAAAGCCCUUUUGUUGGGAAAGAAAAGCAGCAGGUUAAUACCCCGCUGUUCUGACGGUACCCAAAGAAUAAGCACCGGCUAACUUCGUG